AUUGAACGCUGGCGGCAGGCUUAACACAUGCAAGUCGAACGGUAACAUGAAGAAGCUUGCUUCUUUGAUGACGAGUGGCGGACGGGUGAGUAAUGCUUGGGAAUCUAGCUUAUGGAGGGGGAUAACUACGGGAAACUGUAGCUAAUACCGCGUAGAAUCGAGAGAUGAAAGUGUGGGACCUUCGGGCCACAUGCCAUAGGAUGAGCCCAAGUGGGAUUAGGUAGUUGGUGAGGUAAAGGCUCACCAAGCCGACGAUCUCUAGCAGGUCUGAGAGGAUGACCAGCCACACUGGGACUGAGACACGGCCCAGACUCCUACGGGAGGCAGCAGUGGGGAAUAUUGCGCAAUGGGGGCAACCCUGACGCAGUCAUGCCGCGUGAAUGAAGAAGGCCUUCGGGUUGUAAAGUUCUUUCGGUAGCGAGGAAGGCAUUUAGUUUAAUAGAACUAGGUG
rnacentral:rRNA from 1 species